rnacentral:rRNA from 1 species
GAUUAUUGGGGCGUAAGGGCUCGCAGGCGGUUUCUUAAGUCUGAUGUGAAAGCCCCCGGCUCAACCGGGGAGGGUCAUUGGAAACUGGGAAACUUGAGUGCACAAGAGGAGAGUGGAAUUCCACGUGUAGCGGUGAAAUGCGUAGAGAUGUGGAGGAACACCAGUGGCGAAGGCGACUCUCUGGUCUGUAACUGACGCUGAGGAGCGAAAGCGUGGGGAGCGAACAGGAUUAGAUACCCUGGUAGUCCACGCCGUAAACGAUGAGUGCUAAGUGUUAGGGGGUUUCCGCCCCCUAGUGCUGCAGCUAACGCAUUAAUAACUCCGCCUGGGGAGUACUGUCGCAAGACUGAUACUCAACGGAAUUGAUGGCGGCCCG